AUCUUAUUUGCUACAAACUUUUACAGUAGUGCUGAACUUUUCUUUAUCUCAGCACUGUUUUGGAGAAGAAACAUCAUGAAUCCACUAGCAAGAUGGUACAGAAAUUUGCAUCUUCUUUUUACCUAAUUAUGCACAGGAAAUCCAGACAGCUUCUACAAGUCCUAUAGGUGCUUCAGCUGUAUAUAUAUAUUUAAAAAAAAAAAAAAGUGUAUUUUAGAAUUUUAGAAGAAAAUAAGGGUUAUAUGCUCAGAUUUGAGCAGUAAACUGUUUAAAGGAGAGUGAUAUAAUCCCAGUAAAGUUGCAGUUCAGAGAAAUAAAUACAUUAUACAUUCUUUCAAAAUGUAAUCCAGACAACACCCACCCUAUGAGAUAAAAGCAUUGCUCUGGUUAUGGAUGCAUGGACAUACAGGAGGAGUUCCAUGAUCCAGGCUGAAAAUGCCUCACAUGUCCAGAGUUGUGGAGUUUCAUAAAUGGCAAGCUGUCAUACAGUUAGGAAUAUCAGUAAUAAUGCUGGAUUGCAAAGGAUGAACUGAAACAGCAGCUAUAGAGUAGUCAUCAGGAAAAUCACUUUGCUCUCAACAGCAAGUGUCAAAAGCAGAGAUAAUUUGAAAAGAGUUCAGUAUAGAGGUAGUACAAAAAUGACUGAGGCAAAAAUCUUUGUUCUUAUUAUCUCUGCAAAACAAGCAAACAAACAAAACCCUGAUAAACCAAAAUAAAAUAAUAAUAAUAAUAAAAAAAACCUCACAAAAUAGCAUGAUUAAAAAUACAGGGUAACAGACUUUAGGGACUCAAGAAAGAGGCUCUUGGGAAACAUGCAGGCAGCUCACCUCUUCUGUGGACUGCAGAGUACAGUUAAACAUGACAUGGAAAAUAAGGGAAAAACAAGAUUCUCUGAGCCAUAGACACACCCGCAAUAGCAACAAUGAUGUUACUAUCUCAGAGGAAAUCAGCAUUUAUAUAUAUUCUCUAGAGGACUCCUGAUCUUUCAUCUCCAGUAAAUUAUGGCAGUAGUGGGAAUGAAAGAGCUGCUUUACCACCAUUCACCAAUGUACAACUUUUUAUAAGGUAAAAUGAUGUAUCAGGCAACUGAAACAAAGUAAGAUGUGAAUGGAAUCAAGUGAAACAUUUCUUUACAUCGGUCUCAUUUUUUCUUCUUAAAACUGGCAACAACUACUACUACAACAACAAAUCAGAAUGCAGUUGAUAUUACUGAGUGUUGUGAAAUUUUGAAUGCAGAGCAUAAUGAAGAAGAUUGGAGCCAUAUCUAUGCAAAAAAUACCAGAAAUGAAAAAGUCUUCCAAAUAAGAGUCCUAAAGUGGUAUUUUAAUAUGUAGUUCUUAUUUUAAUAUUAAUAAUAAACUGCCUUCAGUCAAUUCUAUAAGCAUUAAAGUAGUGCAAUGAAUAUAACUUGCCUAUAAAACCCAGAAUAUCAUUCUUACUUGCACUGAGCUGAAAUCACUAUUGCAAAUAAUUUUCUUACCAUUCUGUUUUCAGAAUGAGACCCAUGUGUAUAUCAUUUUUUUAAAAAUCCCCCUGCUUUAUUUUAGUUACCUUGGACAGCCCUCACUAUGGACACAGGAUCAAGAUUAAGAGAUAUCUUUGCUAUACAGUCAUGAAAUAUACUCUCAAAUUUUAAGAUAUACCACACGCAUCUGUUACAUACUGUGAAGUCUGUAGUCUCAGUCAGUGCAAGCAAAUCCUGAGUUAGCCUUAGUCUCAUAUAUACUUCAUCAUCUUUAUAUCUCUGCUGUAAUAUUUCUGAGCCAGAUUAUCAUAUUGUUUAUAUUCGAUCAAUCAAAUAAUGCCAAAAUCUUAAAAAUAGUGGGAAAGAGAAUAAUCAGCCUCCUCCGAUCAUAUUUUUCCUAUUUAACAUCAAGGUUAAAUUUCAAAUAGAUUCAGAGUACUUAUCCAGAUACUUUUAUCUCUUUAGUGUUUUUUAACAUUAUAAUUCUCUAGUAGCAGGAUGGUUUUUCUGUUCUGCCCUUUUCAACUCCAGAGAAAGCCUUCUCUCUAAUAAUUCUCAGUACUUGUUCAAGAACAAAUGUUCACCCUUGCCACUUCUCACCACUGAACUGUGCUUGCAGCUGUUGCCAGUUUUGUAUCUCCUUCAGGUUCACAUAUGAAAUGCUGUAGUCAAACUGUAGUUCUUAUGUUUCAGGAGGGUGAUUUGUGAACUGUUUUGACUGGGUUGGAAAAAGCUGUCUUCAAAUAGUUUUUAAUAUUUUCUUCAGUUUUCUAAUGAUACUUUCCUUAUGAGAGUAAGUUCAGCUUUCCUUGCUGUUGAAGUUAAUGGCAACAAUUUCACUGACUUUGUGACUCAACAUUCACAUUAAUU
ensembl:lncRNA